rnacentral:lncRNA from 1 species
GGCUCUGAAGAGUCCUCACAGAGAAGAGCAGAUUUCUAAUGUUUAGUUUCUGUGUUGGGUAGCCCCAUGUCCAGAUGACAUAGAGAUGCAUUUAAAGCCUUCAGCUGUUGGGCUGAGGGCAGAACCCAGAAGCAGAGCAACUUGCCUACCUGGUAGGAUUUCCAGUACUGCAAAACGAAAACUCUUAAGCUUCUCUGAGUAAAUGAGAGGAGAAGACUAAGACCACCUCUACAAAUCCGACCUCUAAGCGGGGAGCAGUCGGGAAGCCGGUCACAGCCGCUUCUGGAGGUGCAGGAGGUCUCUCUGCCUUCACUGCAGGGAAAUAGAAGGUCCCUCAUCUGUCCCCAGAAGAGCACCUUAUAUCAGCAAGCGGACCCCUGGCACCUGCCAUUGCAGCUUCCAUUGUGCAGCCACAUGUCCCCACCACGACUACCUAGCUCCAAUGUCACAUGGCCUGCAAAAAGGAUCUACCAUUGGAGCCAAAGCUCACCCCACUGGAGCACUAAUGUUGAGCAAAUUGGCUUUCGAAUCAUUCGUUUUCUUCACCAGGAGGGACAAGCUAUCAAUAGACACCUGGGACACGAUUCAGUCUGUUGUAACUGCAACCCUGAGCCAGAAGGAGCGUGCAGAGAACUUCCCUCCCUAGCUCCAUUUCUACACAAACGAUUUACUGUAACUCUUCUACAGUGCUUACACAACAAAUAAAGGUAGCACCGGAGACC